rnacentral:lncRNA from 1 species
AUGCAGCGCCUUCCGCCGGCUGUGCCUGUGCCUUUCACAGAGGCGGGUGCUCCUGCUCAGGCAGCCCCAGUGCACUGCGCACGCGUGCCAGUGACGGACGUGAUGGAAGGCCAAGUCCUCCACGGGGCCACACACCUUUCCCCUCUGCAGCGUGAGGACCCCGAUGCCCAGCCCGGCACAUGCUCCCCUCUGGUUUUGCAAACAGAGUUUCAGGUGUCACCAGGGGGCCCAGGAAGGCUCCAUCUCCCAGCUGCUGGCUCCAAGCCAGCUGUGGCCACUGGUUGCCUGCCUACGAUGUCUGCACAAAUACUGUGUGGGAGCAGUGGGAUGUCUCCUUCAGGAGAGAGGCCCCAAGCUUCAGACAUGAGGGCUGGAGCUCCAGCAGCCAUCCUGGACCUUGAGGGUAAGGGUCAGGGGAGCAGAGAGCUGAAGAAGGCUUGUUGUCUAAGGACAUCCAAGCCACGCAGCUCCCCGGGCCCCGGUUACUGUGGCUGCCUUCAUCGGGAGCCGGGGGUGUGUGGCUUCCAUCUCAUUUCAGCUACACCACUUGGGAAGUUCCUGGAUGCUUUUUCUCACAGACACAUCCUCUGUGAACAUUCGGCCACUUGGCAGGGGACAGACUGGCCUCCCAAAGGCAGAGCACCUGUCACCCUGGAAAAGGUGCGUGAAGACGGCGCUGGAGCCUGCCUCCUGCCCCCAACUCCAGCCAGAGGGCGACCAAAGUGUCGGGCAAAAGCCUUCACACUCGGGGGACACACGGCUCCCUCCACCCGCAUCCCCCAGCGCGGAGAACAGCUCCCACUUCCCAUAGGCCUCGCUGCUGACCCUCAUAGCUGGCCUUGGCACUCCCAGAAACAGGCGAGGCGUGGAAGCUCCCAGAAUGGAAGCUCCUGGCCCCAGGGCCCUCAGCUAGGAAGUCAGGGACCUGGCACUCAAACCCGGUCUGUGCCAGUGCCAGCUGGGGCCCAUCCACACACACACCCACCCCCGGGGCACCUCAGCCCCCCACCCCCAUCCCCACCCCCACGUCCCAGCAGAGCCCAGCAGGGAGGCAGGGUGUCGGCUCCGAGUCUCCCUCUAGCCCGAGGCAGCCCCACUGAGAUCCAGCCUCGGGGCAGGUCUGCGUAA